CAGAGAUUAGUUUAAUAAAAAUAUUAGUUUUGGGGAUUAAUGUUAAGGAGAUUCCUUAUCUCUGA
rnacentral:tRNA from 1 species